UACGUAGGGUGCGAGCGUUGUCCGGAAUUAUUGGGCGUAAAGAGCUUGUAGGCGGUUUGUCGCGUCUGCUGUGAAAAUCCGGGGCUUAACCUCGAGCUGUCGGCGGAAACCAUCUGGCUAGAGUCCGGAAGAGGAGAAUGGAAUUCCCGGUGUAGCGGUGAAAUGCGCAGAUAUCGGGAAGAACACCCGUGGCGAAGGCGGUUCUCUGGGACGGUACUGACGCUGAGACGCGAAAGCGUGGGGAGCGAACAGG
rnacentral:rRNA from 1 species